rnacentral:tRNA from 1 species
GGAGCUGUGGCUCAGCGGUAGAGCAUCUGCUUAGCUUGCAGAAAGUCCCAGGUUCUAUCCUGGGCACCCCCA